rnacentral:rRNA from 1 species
UACGUAGGUGGCAAGCGUUGUCCGGAAUUAUUGGGCGUAAAGCGCGCGCAGGCGGUCCUUUAAGUCUGAUGUGAAAGCCCACGGCUCAACCGUGGAGGGUCAUUGGAAACUGGGGGACUUGAGUGCAGAAGAGGAAAGCGGAAUUCCACGUGUAGCGGUGAAAUGCGUAGAGAUGUGGAGGAACACCAGUGGCGAAGGCGGCUUCCUGGUCUGUAACUGACGCUGAGGCGCAAAAGCGUGGGGAGCAAACAGG